rnacentral:rRNA from 1 species
GUUUAUCACCAUUCCAGAUUGAAUAUACCCGAUCUCGUCUGAUCUCGGAAGUCAAGCAAUCUCGGGCUUGGUUAGUACUUGAAUGGGUGACCGCUUGGGAAUACCAAGUGUGAUAAGCA